rnacentral:rRNA from 1 species
UACGUAGGGGGCAAGCGUUGUCCGGAAUCAUUGGGCGUAAAGCGCGUGUAGGCGGCUCGAUAAGUCUGCUGUGAAAGUCCAGGGCUCAACCCUGGAAUGCCGGUGGAAACUGUCGGGCUAGAGUCCGGAAGAGGCGAGUGGAAUUCCUGGUGUAGCGGUGAAAUGCGCAGAUAUCAGGAGGAACACCAAUGGCGAAGGCAGCUCGCUGGGACGGUACUGACGCUGAGACGCGAAAGCUAGGGUAGCAAACGGG